rnacentral:rRNA from 1 species
UACGUAGGGUGCAAGCGUUAAUCGGAAUUACUGGGCGUAAAGCGUGCGCAGGCGGUUUUGUAAGUCAGUGGUGAAAUCUCCGGGCUCAACUCGGAAACUGCCGUUGAUACUAUCUGUCUUGAAUACCGUGGAGGUGAGCGGAAUAUGUCAUGUAGCGGUGAAAUGCUUAGAUAUGACAUAGAACACCAAUUGCGAAGGCAGCUCACUACACGAGCAUUGACUCUGAGGCACGAAAGCGUGGGGAUCAAACAGG